rnacentral:rRNA from 1 species
GAGGGCGAGGGUAAUGAUUAAUAGGGAUAGUUGGGGGCAUUAAUAUUUAAUUGUCAGAGGUGAAAUUCUUGGAUUUAUGAAAGAUUAACUUCUGCGAAAGCAUCUGCCAAGGAUGUUUUCAUUAAUCAAGAACGAAAGUUAGGGGAUCGAAGACGAUCAGAUACCGUCGUAGUCUUAACCAUAAACGAUGCCGACCAGCGAUUAGGAGACGUUGAAUACAAAACACCACCAUGCGCAUUGCGGUCGUCUUUGGUGUCGUCACAAGGCGGCACCGGGGCGGCUUAGCUCGCAUGGCACCGGUGAAUGACUCCCUA